UACGGAGGGUGCAAGCGUUAUCCGGAUUUACUGGGUUUAAAGGGUGCGUAGGCGGGUAGGUAAGUCAGUGGGGAAAUCUUCGAGCUUAACUCGGAAACUGCCUUUGAUACUAUCUAUCUUGAAUAUUGUGGAGGUAAGCGGAAUUUGUCAUGUAGCGGUGAAAUGCUUAGAUAUGACAUAGAACACCUAUUGCGAAGGCAGCUUACUACGCAUAUAUUGACGCUGAGGCACGAAAGCGUGGGGAUCAAACAGG
rnacentral:rRNA from 1 species